rnacentral:rRNA from 1 species
AGGCAGCAGUGGGGAAUAUUGCACAAUGGGGGAAACCCUGAUGCAGCCAUGCCGCGUGUGUGAAGAAGGCCUUCGGGUUGUAAAGCACUUUCAGUAGGGAGGAAGGUAGUGUAGUUAACACCUGCAUUAUUUGACGUUACCUACAGAAGAAGCACCGGCUAACUCCGUGCCAGCAGCCGCGGUAAUACGGAGGGUGCGAGCGUUAAUCGGAAUUACUGGGCGUAAAGCGCAUGCAGGCGGCCUGUUAAGUCAGAUGUGAAAGCCCGGGGCUUAACCUCGGAAUUGCAUUUGUAAACUGGCAGGCUAGAGUCUUGUAGAGGGGGGUAGGAAUUUCAGGUGUAGCGGUGAAAUGCGUAGAGAUCUGAAGGAAUACCAGUGGCGAAGGCGGCCCCCUGGACAAAGACUGACGCUCAGAUGCGAAAGCGUGGGGAGCAAACAGGAUUAGAUACCCUGGUAG